rnacentral:rRNA from 1 species
AGAGUUUGAUCCUGGCUCAGAACGAACGCUGGCGGCAGGCCUCAAACAUGCAAGUCUAGGGGGUGUAGCAAUACAUCACCGGCGGACGGGUGCGUAACGCGUGGGAACAUACCUUUCGGUACGGAACAACUGCGGGAAACUGCAGCUAAUACCGUAUACGCCCUUACGGGGAAAGAUUUAUCGCCGAAGGAUUGGCCCGCGUUCGAUUAGCUAGUUGGUGGGGUAAUGGCCCACCAAGGCUACGAUCGAUAGCUGUUCUGAGAGGAAGAUCAGCCACACUGGGACUGAGACACGGCCCAGACUCCUACGGGAGGCAGCAGUUGGGAAUCUUGGACAAUGGGGGAAACCCUGAUCCAGCCAUGCCGCGUGAGUGAUGAAGGCCUUCGGGUUGUAAAACUCUUUCGACGGGGACGAUAAUGACGGUACCCGUAGAAGAAGCUCCGGCUAACUUCGUGCCAGCAGCCGCGGUAAUACGAAGGGGGCUAGCGUUGUUCGGAAUUACUGGGCGUAAAGCGCGCGCAGGCGGUCUUCCAAGUCAGUGGUGAAAGCCUGGAGCUCAACUCCAGAACUGCCAUUGAAACUGUUAGACUUGAGUACGAGAGAGGUGAGUGGAAUUCCCAGUGUAGAGGUGAAAUUCGUAGAUAUUGGGAAGAACACCAGUGGCGAAGGCGGCUCACUGGCUCGUAACUGACGCUCAGGCGCGACAGCGUGGGGAUCAAACAGGAUUAGAUACCCUGGUAGUCC